AGCAGCCGCGGUAAUUCCAGCUCCAAUAGCGUAUAUUAAAGUUGUUGCAGUUAAAAAGCUCGUAGUUGAAUUUCGGGAUUGACGUGAUGGUCAUGCCUUAAGGGGUAUGAACUGUUACUGUUGAUUUCUCACCUUCUGGAGAAACUUGAUGUCCUUUAUUGGGUGUCUUGCGGAUCCAGGACCUUUACCUUGAAAAAAUUUAGAGUGUUUAAAGCAGGCAUUUUUGCUCGAAUACAUUAGCAUGGAAUAAUAGAAUAGGACGGCAUGGUUCUAUUUUGUUGGUUUCUAGGAUCACCGUAAUGAUUAAUAGGGAUAGUUGGGGGCAUUAGUAUUCAAUUGUCAGAGGUGAAAUUCUUGGAUUUAUUGAAGACUAACUACUGCGAAAGCAUUUGCCAAGGAUGUUUUCAUUAAUCAAGAACGAAAGUUAGGGGAUCGAAGACGAUCAGAUACCGUCGUAGUCUUAACCAUAAACUAUGCCGACUAGGAAUCAGACGAUGUUAAUUUUUUUCAAUGACUCGUU
rnacentral:misc_RNA from 2 species